rfam:Trichomalopsis sarcophagae strain Alberta scaffold18612, whole genome shotgun sequence.
UAAUCGGCCCUUUUCAGGGUCACCAUAUAAAUUAUAUACGUGGAACU